rnacentral:rRNA from 1 species
CCUCCUACGGGGGGCAGCAGUGGGGAAUAUUGCACAAUGGGGGGAACCCUGAUGCAGCGACGCCGCGUGGGUGAAGGAGUACUUCGGUACGUAAAGCCCUAUCAGCAGGAAAGAAAAUGACGGUACCUGACUAAGAAGCCCCGGCUAACUACGUGCCAGCAGCCGCGGUAAUACGUAGGGGGCAAGCGUUAUCCGGAUUUACUGGGUGUAAAGGGAGCGUAGACGGAAAGGCAAGUCAGAAGUGAAAACCCAAGGCUCAACCAUGGGACUGCUUUUGAAACUGUCAAACUAGAGUACGGGAGAGG